rnacentral:lncRNA from 1 species
AUAAAGGAGCUGUUUAACAUUACGAGCAUUUAUUUUUAAUAGACUAUAGAGAAUCAGUGUCCAGAUAAAGACCUCUUGGUGUGACUGAUUUGGCGCCAGUAUUGGUCCCUCAAGUAACAUCUCACCAGUAGAAAGCUAGAGGGACCAUGUGGUCUAGGAUUUAGUAGAAAAUGAUCCUCGUGGGCCUAAAGCCUUGCCAAUCAAAAUCUCAGC